GCAUUUUGAAGAACGAAUUGAUCCCGCGCCGAGGAUACAAGUUCAGAGAAUGUGUCUGCAUCAUGCUCUCCUUCUCCAGCACCUCGCAGAGGGACACGCAGGUGUCGUUCAGUUCUCAGUGCGAUCGAGAAUCAUACUGAAUGUGACAAUGAACACGUCCAUCCACCAGUUCCGAAGAGAGCCAAGGCAAACAAGCAGG